AUCUAGCUAACGAGUCCCAAAUAGGACGAAACGCGUGUUCUGAAU
rnacentral:hammerhead_ribozyme from 1 species